rnacentral:piRNA from 1 species
UGCUAAAAGAUCUUGGCUCUCUGGG